rnacentral:rRNA from 1 species
AAUUGAAGAGUUUGAUCAUGGCUCAGAUUGAACGCUGGCGGCAGGCCUAACACAUGCAAGUCGAACGGUAACAGGAAGAAGCUUGCUUCUUUGCUGACGAGUGGCGGACGGGUGAGUAAUGUCUGGGAAACUGCCUGAUGGAGGGGGAUAACUACUGGAAACGGUAGCUAAUACCGCAUAACGUCGCAAGACCAAAGAGGGGGACCUUCGGGCCUCUUGCCAUCGGAUGUGCCAGAUGGGAUUAGCUAGUAGGUGGGGUAACGGCUCACCUAGGCGACGAUCCCUAGCUGGUCUGAGAGGAUGACCAGCCACACUGGAACUGAGACACGGUCCAGACUCCUACGGGAGGCAGCAGUGGGGAAUAUUGCACAAUGGG